GGGGGUGUAGCUCAGUUGGCUAGAGCGUUUGAAUGGCAUUCAAAAGGCCAGGGGUUCAAUUCCCCUCAUCUCCA
rnacentral:tRNA from 1 species